AAUAUAUAUUUUUUGCCUUUUAGGUAAUGACAUAAUAACUCUAAAAGCAAAGAUUUAGAAGAUUUAAAUCGUUAAUUAAAUAU
rnacentral:sRNA from 1 species